rnacentral:lncRNA from 12 species
AGCCUGACACCGUGUGCCGCUUCCCUCCAGGAUGUGCCCGCGGGGAGGGGGCGCGUCCCGGAGCCCCCCGCUGCUGCUGGCAGCCCUCUGCAGAGCCCAGCCGCACCUCCUGCUGCCGUGGAGCCGCUGCCCUUCUCCUCUCCGCCUCGCUGUCUCUUUGCCAGGUUGAGCUGGAAGCUGGGCAGACCCCCGUGGGCAGCCAGGAGCAGGAUCCCUGUGCUUUGGGAACAGAUCCAGCCCCUCUGGAGGAGACACCCAGGUGUCCUGAGAUCCAGGAGCAGCCUGAGGUAGAGCCGUGCAGCCCAGCUGUCCCCAAGGCUGGCACCGGCCAUGGGUCACAUCCCCAGAGCCCAGCAGCCCCUGCAGACCCUGCCAGGAGGGAGAUUCAGGAACCCAGCCCCUCUGGAGGGGCAGGGGCUGAGCUCAGCCCACAUUGCUGGGAGCAGCCACCACGUGGAGCUGGAGAAGCCGAGGCAGAGGCUGCUCAGGAUGGGGUGCCUCCAGGAUGUGCAGCAGAACCCGAGGCCCAGCCCAGCCAGGCUCCUGCUGGUGCCUGCAGCAGCCCAGAGACCUCCCAGCCUGGGGGUGCUGAGACAAAUCCGGCUCUGCUGCAGCUCUGCUCCCUGCUCCCCACGCCGUGCCCGGCCGGCAUCGAUCUCCGCUCCGCCGCCGUCCUGGCCAAGAAGGCAGAGAUCGAGCUGUCGUACCAGCAGUUCAGCCUGACCGUAGCCGUGGUGGCCACGAUGCUGCUGCAGAAGGAGCCCUCGCUGGAGGCGGCGCUGGGGCUGGCGCUCAGGGCCAACCUGCGCCAGCGCCGCCUCCACCACCUGCAGCAGCUGCAGGACUUCAUCGACACCAUCGACUCGGCCACUGCCAGCCUCUGAUGGCAGCCACCUUCCUGCCACCUGGGGGCUGUGACAGGGCUGUGACAGCGCUCUGGGUGCUCAGCCUGCAGGACAAGGUCAGAGAUGUUGGCAGCCCCACUCUGUCUCUUGGAGGGCGAGCAGGGCGUGUUUGGUUUUAGCCCUGCCCAAACCCCUGAGGGCAGCAAAUGUUUUAUUGGUUCUACUGGAGGGCAAUGGGAGGGAGGCAGCAAUCCUUCUCCUCCAUUCCUGAUUGCCUGGAACAAUGUGUCCCCAAACCCAGUGAGAGUUUUUUGGGUUUAAAUCUACAAAUAAACCGUGUUCACUCUGCAGCCCUUGCUUUGCCAUUGUUCUGUUCCUGUUCUCCUGGGGCUGCAGGGGAGGGUCCCACAGUGAAACCCGGCUGUGGCAGAGGGCAGAGGUCACCCCAG